rnacentral:ncRNA from 1 species
GUAGGUGGCUGGCAGUGCCGCCACGUGCCAUUCUCCUCUUGUCGUUGUUGCUCCGGGGCCCGCUAUAUUGCCCCGGUUUUUUUUC